rnacentral:rRNA from 1 species
UACGUAGGUGGCAAGCGUUGUCCGGAUUUACUGGGCGUAAAGAGCGCGCAGGCGGUCGUUCAAGUCGCGUGUGAAAGCCCCCGGCUUAACUGGGGAGGGUCACGCGAUACUGAUCGACUCGAAGGCAGGAGAGGGUAGUGGAAUUCCCGGUGUAGUGGUAAAAUGCGUAGAUAUCGGGAGGAACACCAGUGGCGAAGGCGACUACCUGGCCUGUUCUUGACGCUGAGGCGCGAAAGCUAGGGGAGCAAACGGG